rnacentral:lncRNA from 1 species
UGCCCGUCUUCCCUGCGACGGUUUUGGGGUGGAACAGGAGUGGCUCCUCAGGGGGAAAUGAAAGGAACUGAGGAGCUCCAGUCGUGAGAAGGCCAAUGAAGCAGCCUGAGGGACAGGAGGAAGACAAGAGAACCCAAGGAAUGCACUUCCUGAAUUGAUGGGAGGCCCUGGAUCCAGAGCGGGUGGGAACACAUCUGGAAGGAAGACAGAGGGAAUGAAGCAAAAAUGGGCAAAGGCACCGCCAGUUGGGAAAUGGACCUCCUUGGAUGCUGCAUUGUUUUCUCUGGCCCAGCUCCUGCUUGGGGCCUGAUGUACACCCUGGAUGGUGGCUACAGGUGGGGCACCCUGUGCUGGUGAGUACAGGCUGCUGUGGAGCCCAGAAGCCCCAGGGGACGGCUGGGCUGGGCUGGCUGCCCCAGUUAAAGAGACGUGGCCCCUGGGUCCCAUCCUUUGAGGCAGAAGUACCGCUCCAUCUACUUCCAGGCCUUAUGGGGAGACCUUUUGUAUCUGGACCCAAACAGUAAGAAAGUGCCACAACGCAGAUGAUUUCUGCGUGCUCGGUGAUGAGAAAUGUUUUCUCAGUGGCAUCUGUGAAAGGUGCUGCUGUAUCUUCCGAAUUGUCAAAAUCACACUCUGCUUUGAAAAACAACCCUGACCACCUGGGGGUUAAUUAUAUUUGACCACAUUCAAUACAAUACAAUAAUAAAUU